rnacentral:lncRNA from 1 species
UGCCGUUAAUUGUUAGAAUUUGCACUGCAUGUUCUAUAAUGAUGAAUUGUUCUAUGACGAUGAACCGCUUUAUUGAACUGCCUGUGACGUGAUCGCUUUCAUAAUUGUGAUUGUAAAGUUUAUUUCUGUGCAAAACGAACAAGUGUAGCCUUGGGUAGAAUUUGCUUUUCUUCGAUUAGGCUAUGUAGACGCCGCUUCACUUCGCAAGUCUUGCCGACGAGCCCACGGAGGCGUAUCUGGCAACCCCGUUGCCAGGGCGAGCACGGAGGCGUAUUUGGCGGGGGCGGCGGCGUAUUUGGGAAAGGAUGAGAGAGAUAGGCUUCCCUUCGCAAGUCUCGCCGGCGAGCCCACGAAGGCGUAUCUGGCGGCGCCAUUGCCAGGGCGAGCACGGACGCAUAUUUGACGGGGGCGGGGGCGUAUUUGGGAAAGGGACGAGAGAGAUAGGCUUCCCUUCGCAAGUCUCGCCAGGCUAUCUGGCGGCGCCGUAGCCAGGGCAAGCACGGAGGCGUAUUUGACAGGGGCGGCGGCGUAUUUGGAAAGGGAUGAGAGAGAUAGGCGACGGACCCACCUGUCACUUUUUUUCGGAGCCCCACAUGUAAGUUAAGUGGACCGACCCCACCUGUCAGGACGUGACCCGCAUGUAAGGUAACCAGACCCGUUAAGACCUGCCCGCUUGCAGUGUCUCCUCGCAGCCCCACACGCCAGAAACGCGGCUCCAGGCCCACCUAUCAGCACUCCCCACGGCCCACUCGUCAGAACCAAACGGUCAAAAGGGCUUGACCAUUAGCAGGUGCUCCAUGAGGGCAUUUGCGAGGAAUCGCGAAACGAACAGGUGUGUUUCUAACCUCGGGUAUAACUGAGGGGACGAGGGGCACAUAAAUAAAAAAAACCCCAAAGAAAAACUACGAUUGGCCUUUGCCAGCCUGAACCAAUUUAUUGAACCAUUAAAAAAAAAUCCAAGAUUACAGGAGCUAGCAAGAAUGUACAAAACAAAAAAUUACAUAGAGGGAGCGAGACGAGCUAACAUAAUUCUCCAGUCAAUCAAGACCGUCUUGUACAGAUUAUGAAAGCCAUAAAACGUUUAUUUGCUCAAUUGCUCCCGCACUCAAAAUUAUCAUCGAGCAGAUAAUAUUAAAGGGUACUCCGUAUAUAUUAGCGCGUGCGCGGACAUGCCCGGAACAGAGUAUUUGGCUGGACCGCACACUCGCUCGCUGCUAGUGCUUGCAUGGCGGCCGGCGACAUAUUUGUGGUGCGUGCCACGCAUGCAUGUAUGCAGUGGCCGGAGAUCGACACAGAGAAUUAGGGCCGUUCGUGCUCUGGUUGCCUGCCAAAUCUGCCCUAACUGAUCAGGCGGCGGCAUAAGAUAUUAAUACUCCUAUUAACAAAACAAAUGUCCACAUGCAAAAAAGAAAAAGAAAAGUAGAAACCAAUAUUGUUUUAAAAAAAAGAUACCGGCACUAUACGUGAGUUCUACCGUAUCAGUCUCUAGGCAAAUUUAGCCACGAUCGAUCUCCACUGUAAGUACUACAGUAACAAUUUUUUUGCAGGGUACAGUAACAUAUUUUACGGCAAGCCAUACUGUAUAAGGUAACUUGGGAAUUAAUACUACAGAAUUAUUUCAGAUGCUAGG